UGCUGACCAAGUGACUGAAAGUGCCGGGGAAACUCACAUCGGGGGUCCCAGGAAGAGAGGAAGGAAACUCUGAAGAGAGGAAAAGGGGAAACCAAGACAUGCGGUCCUGAGCUUGGUCCCUGAGUACGUGGCCAAAAGCGUGGAAAUAAAGAGAGUCAACUUACUGGCUGUCCAGGCUCAUCUCCUCCGAGGAUUCUGAAGCCAAAUCCAGACUCCAUCCUCCGAAGGUGAACAUCCAGUUCCUUAUAGUCUGGACCUGGUGUAGAGAAGAUCCCACUGAGUCACGAAUCCUCCUCCUCCCACCCCCCAGGAGCCGUACACACCGAUG
rnacentral:lncRNA from 1 species